UCCAGAGCAGGGAUGAUGGCACAGGUUGA
rnacentral:piRNA from 1 species